rfam:Schistosoma curassoni strain Dakar, Senegal genome assembly, scaffold: SCTD_scaffold0006978
AUCCAACUGACGAGUCCCAAACUGGAUGAAACGCGCUUCAUGGAU